ACACCGAUGGGACACUCACCAGGAGAGAGAACAACUGCACAGCCGACUCGUACUCGCGCGCACUACUCCGAUCUCCUGCACCGAGACAAGCCAACUGGGUAAACUGAGGCGGGUUAUUCUGGGCCACGCACUGAUUCCACUCGAGAGCGAAAGCCCCGUCCGCGUCAGCAGAAGCAGGAGCGCCGAGAAGAAGCCGCAGUAACCGCAGUGCUGCGCUCGCCCUGACCGAAGCAGAGGCUAGAACUACACUUCAGAGACAACGGAGGUGCCCUCUGGGAGAGAUGGCAUGUAUUCAAUCUACCCUUUCAGAGGAGCAGUCAAUAGCCACGACAUAUAGACUAGCUUCUUUAUAAUUAGGAUCCUGGACAUCUGGAGAAACAUCUGGAAGCAAGGACAGCUGUGCUGGCACUGGGCCAUAACAAUGAAGGAGAAGAUGAAGAAGACAGCAGUGUUGCAGGCUCUGGACAUUCAGUACAUGGCUAUUUGAAAGUCCCUACGGAUAUACUAUAUGGCAUGCCUCCUAAUGAAGGACUCAGGAAGAUCAGGUCGUCAACAAGGAAUGUAUAUAUCCCUGAAGAAAGAAACCAAAGCUUCGGAAUGAAGUCAGCAAAUUAGCACAUAAGAAAGAGAACGGAGGAUAUAGCUUAACCCUUCAGUUGUUAUCUUUGUCAUGCCAGGGGAAGGGAUCAUGAGUCAAACAUGGAAAGUCAGUGAGAGUUUUGAAUGCAUGAAAAUUGGAGAUCAUUCCCCAAUUCAGCAGUCAUGCUUGGCUCAGGUAAAUCCUCCAUACAGCCCCAACCCAGCAAACCAUUUAGGCGGUUUUGUAACUUUAGGCGUGUGAGUAAUCCCACUGAAGUCAAUCAGAAUGCUUACAUCUUUAAAGUUAUGCAUGUGUUUAAGUGCUUUACUAAUUUUCAGUUCUUUACUUACCAGUGCUAAUUAGGCUGUGUACAACAAAUAGUUAUGCUUUGAUUAGAUUAAAUAAGGCACACUGUAGGCAUGAAUUUUGUACCUUAGAUAUUAGUAGGUAAGUUACUGCUCUUUUCUAGAUAGUAGUUUGUGUAUUUCCCUAUUUCUGAUAAAUAUUGUUAUUUCAUAUUGGGGAAAUAUUCCCAUUCAAGUUACCCACUACAUUUUAGAAUUUAAAAUUAAUACAGAAAUCUGUUCUUAAUCCCUAAGUACAUAUGUGUGCUGUAACAGUGAGAACGCUUUAAGAGUCAUUGCCCUUUUUUAUGAUGUUCAGUCUUCAGGUUUGCAUAACUUCACUAUGCUACAUAUUAAAGGAAUAUUGUCACCUUAAAAAUCAUAUAACUUCUGUAUCUGUGUUUUAAAAAUACCCCUUUAGAUUACUAAAACAGAGUUUUUUUAAAAUGAGGUACUUUUAAUCAUUUAGGCUGUUUCUUUUCUUUUUGCAUAUCUCAGCUUGAUAAAUGAAACUGGUUAGUUUCACUUUUAUAUAGCUUUUAGUUAGUUAAUAUUUUUUGCUUUUAUGUUUUCACACAUUUGACUAGCACAAUGCUUCAGUAUUUGGAUUGGUAUCUGCAAGAUACUCUGCAAGAGAAUCCUUACUCUUUUCUUUUCUUUUCUUUUCUUUUCUUUUCUUUUCUUUUCUUUUCUUUUCUUUUCUUUUCUUUAAAGGAAACCAUCUCCACUGAAAUUCAGUUUUAAAACAGUCCUGGGAAGAUUUCUAUUAACUUGUUUUUACAAAAUCCAUUAUUUUUACAAAUUGUUAGUCUGGGGCAAAAUUUCACUCAGCUGUGUCGUUUCAGAAGAUUACAGAAAAUAAGCACAUUAAAUUGUCUUUGCAGCCCUCAAAAAAAACCAACCCACUAAGCACCUGAGAAAACAAGGAUGUAAGCAUAAAAGAUGUAAGCAUAAAUUAAUGAAAUGGGGAUUAGAAAGGGGAAAUCCCAAUCUCUGAAAUUAAUCAAAUGUAUGUAUUAAAAGGGUGAGUCAGUUGAACUUAAUAAAGUGGUUGAUAUAAAAUACAAGUAUUUUCAAAGUAGAGGCUUGGAGAGUUGUAUCCUAAAUUGAAAUUUGUAGGGUGAAAUCCUGGCUUCAUUAUAGUUGAUGGCAAAACUCCCAAGCAUUUGCCUCUGUUUUAACUGAAGUUAGUACGGCUGCUUGCAUGGAUAAGAAUCACUCACUAGAGCCAGGGGUUGCUGGAUUGGGGACUAAGGACUGAAACACAACGCAUGCCUUAACUUCAAGCACCUAGGUCCAUUGGGACACCAGUGUAGUAGAGUAAGAUGAGUGGAACUACUCACAUGGUUGUAAUUCUUUGCAGGACUGGAGCCUAAAUCUAUAACUAAACAGGCAGCUUUCUAAGUUCAUUUAGCUUUUUAAUAUUACCCUACCCAGACUAAUAUUGAGAAUAGUUGAAUAACAGUAAAGCCAUCUUGUGGUCCACUCUGUCCUCAUAAAAAUAGUAAUUUGGCAAGACAGUAAACAUAAUCAUGUAGACUGGCAUGAAAGUAAUUUACUUUCAGUUCUGUUAUGUUGAAGAUGCUACUAUAAGGCUUAAAAAAAUAAAGACCAGUCAACUCAGUUAGUUCUGGGACGUUGAAUGAAUGUACUAUUGAAUGAAUGUAAACUAAAAUGAUGUAAGCAUGACAACAAAACGCUAAAAGAAUGUACAAGUUGACUUUGGUAUCAUUCUAUUGAUAGAGUGCUUCAGUUUAGUGAUGUAAUAAAAUUAGUCACAAAUUUCUUUACAAACAUCUGUUCUGCUACAUGAAUAGCUUGCAAGCCAGUCAUUGUGGCUCUGGUAUCUGAGCUUCAAAACUGGCAUGCUUGGUCAGUAGCACGGGUCUCAUGGAAUUAAUUCUGCUUAAUGACUUAAGUGGCUAACUACUACACACAAAUUGCAAAUUUUGAAUAUUGAAAUAGAAUAUAUAAUUGAAAAUUUUCUGUCAGGGUAAAAUUCAUCCCUGUGCAGCACAGGUCUAUGUAUUGCUUUAGCCUAUUUUGAGGGCUUAUGUGGGGCAUAAGUAAUAGACGAGCCUUUUGCUGGAUCUUUGCACAGGGUUGAAUUUUGCCCAUCGUGCAUAUUCAGGUACUGGAGCUUAAUAUAUAUUUUUCUUGAGUAUUAGUGCCAGUAAAACAU